AACGUAGGAGGCGAGCGUUAUCCGGAUUUAUUGGGCGUAAAGCGCGUGCAGGUGGUAUCGUAAGUCGGAUGUGAAAGCCUCUGGCUCAACUGGAGGAUGUCGUUCGAUACUGCGGAACUUGAGGUCGGGAGAGGGAAGCGGAAUUCCCGGUGUAGUGGUGGAAUGCGUAGAUAUCGGGAGGAACACCAGUGGCGAAGGCGGCUUCCUGGCCCGCACCUGACACUAAGACGCGAAAGCGUGGGGAGCGAACGGGAUUAGAUACCCCCGUAGUCC
rnacentral:rRNA from 1 species